UACGGGGGGAGCCAGCGUUGUUCGGAUUUACUGGGCGUAAAGGGCGCGUAGGCGGCGUGACAAGUCACUUGUGAAAUCUCUGAGCUUAACUCAGAACGGCCAAGUGAAACUGUUGUGCUAGAGUGCAGAAGGGGCAAUCGGAAUUCUUGGUGUAGCGGUGAAAUGCGUAGAUAUCAAGAGGAACACCUGAGGUGAAGACGGGUUGCUGGGCUGACACUGACGCUGAGGCGCGAAAGCCAGGGGAGCAAACGGG
rnacentral:rRNA from 1 species